GGGGAUGUAGCUCAGUGGCGCAGUGCCUGCCUGGCAAGUGAGAGGUCCUGAGUUCGAUCCCUGGUAUCCCCG
rnacentral:tRNA from 1 species